UGCUUGCCUCAAAGAGGGCUUGUUGGGUUCUCAAACCAAGAGCUCUUAAUGCUGUGACCAAAAAUAAAAGUUCUCCGUAGGAUGUGAUAGUCACUCAGUAUUGCCAUGUGUUCCAGAGGAGAUAUACUG